GCCUUGCCAUGCGAUUUGGGCACAGAAGUGGAGGGUGGUAGCAUGUCGCUGCCCCCCUCCUGGGACCUCCAGGACAGCGCCUGCUGAGAACAGGCCCCAAGGAGGAGAGAGACCAGGAGAGCACAGAAGAGGAGGGCAAGCUGCUGUGCGUGACCAAGGAAACCGAGAGCUGGCUGCCCUUGUGAACUUGCCGAGUGCCUGAUGGAGAACGCGAGGAGAAGAGAGCUGGGGGAGUAUGAAAAACAUUACUUCUCUCCUGCUUAUUGGCGGAGGCAAGAUUGAUUGACUAUAUUUGCUGUAGUGGAGAAUUCAUUGAGGCUUCUUCCCCAGCUGCUCAUCUGGCAAGAUCAUCAGGGCUGGGUGAUGACAGACCAACAGCACGAGAUGAGGGCCAUAGCCCUUCAUCUUGGGGUGAACCUGGCAUCAUAAUGCAGAUAACAAACCUCCCUGACACAGGGAACAGAAGAGCAGCAGCAUUUUCUAAGCUCUGGGACAUUGAUCUGCUUGUACUGAGAUCAUUGUUGCUUUUGAAGCAGUUCUACUGGAGGCAAUAUUUUUGCCUUCAGGGCCUCCAAAAACUGAAGGAGGCAUCAAAAAGGUGGUGCUGCCGUCACUUGGUGGUGUACCAGCUGUGAUACAGGGCUGGGCUGGUGGAAACAGGGGAGACAAGAUUCAAGGGGUAGCUUUUCCCUUCAGGAGGUGAUGCAGGUGCAGCAGAGCGGUGAAGCCCCAGGAGCCUGAUGGAAAUCCAGAGCCUGGCUGUGGCUGUGCAAACCUGCUCUGCGUCCUCCCAGGCAGCACGGUUUGGGCUGGGGAACUGACCCCACCCUGCCAUCUCUGCCUGGGAUAAAGGGAGCUUGUUUCAGCUUUAGCUCACUGCAAUAUCUCCUGCUGGCAGACUUUCCAAUUAGGGAGCCAAGUGGGAGUCAGGAGAGACCCCAGGGUGGAUUUCACACUCGUUCUUUAUUUAUAUGUAAACCUGGACGUGGGGCUGAGCUGCUGAGCAAGUGAGAGAAGCAGUAUUGAGGGAGGGGGGAGCCAGCCCAGGGAACAGAGGUCUUUGCAGCUCUCAUUUGAAGUGUGUGUGGGACAGGGCUGAGCAAGAGGGAAAGUCUGGCUUGCAUUUCCCACCUGUUUCAGAUGCUGGGGGGGUGCCAGGUUCAUGUUUUCUUCCCAGUCCCUGCUUGUGCGUCCCAGAAUGGAACUCAAGCAUCGUUGAACACUAGGGACUGUCAGUUGUCUCUUGGUGAUGUAGAUGAGCACCCUAAUACACCCCAGUGUCCUUCUGGCCACACACAAAGGGGAAUUGUAACCAGGUGGGUUACUGGCUCUGGCCCAACAUUCUUCCUCU